AAUCUCAACAACAGUCUGAAAUCUCUUCCUUUUUGAAGGUGAUUUUAAUUUUGGGAAAAGCCAGAAGUCUCAGGGCACCAAAUCUGGGCUGUAGUGUGGCUGAGUCACUUGGGUGAUUUGGUGUUUUUCAAAAAAACUGUGCACGAGACAUGAUUCAUGAGCAGGUAUGUUGUCAUGACAAAGCUGCCAAUCACCAAUUACCCAUAGCUGUGACCUUGUGAAUCAUCUGAAUAAUUUCUGCAGAGGACUGUUCAAACUUAAUGCUAAAUUUGGUGCUGAUUCAUUGCUCUACUCAGUCAUUUUGACUGUGAUGGCCACACAGUACACAUGCUCACUCAAUGGCGUCUACUGCU